GAUGAACGCUGGCGGCGUGCCUAAUACAUGCAAGUCGAGCGAACGGACGAGAAGCUUGCUUCUCUGAUGUUAGCGGCGGACGGGUGAGUAACACGUGGAUAACCUACCUAUAAGACUGGGAUAACUUCGGGAAACCGGAGCUAAUACCGGAUAAUAUUUUGAACCGCAUGGUUCAAAAGUGAAAGACGGUCUUGCUGUCACUUAUAGAUGGAUCCGCGCUGCAUUAGCUAGUUGGUAAGGUAACGGCUUACCAAGGCAACGAGGCAUAGACGACCUGAGAGGGGGAUCGGCCACACUGGAACUGAGACACGGUCCAGACUCCUGCGGGAGGCCGCAGUAGGGAAUCUUCCGCAAUGGGCGAAAGCCUGACGGAGCAACGCCGCGUGAGUGAUGAAGGUCUUCGGAUCGUAAAACUCGGUUAUUAGGGAAGAACAGAUGUGUAAGUAAAUGUGCACAUCUUGACGGUACCUAAUCAGAAAGCCACGGCUAACUACGUG
rnacentral:rRNA from 1 species